rnacentral:rRNA from 1 species
AACGAACGCUGGCGACAUGCCUAACACAUGCAAGUCGAACGAGACCUUCGGGUCUAGUGGCGCACGGGUGCGUAACGCGUGGGAAUCUACCCUUGGGUUCGGAAUAACUCAGAGAAAUUUGAGCUAAUACCGGAUGAUGUCGCAAGACCAAAGAUUUAUCGCCCAAGGAUGAGCCCGCGUAGGAUUAGCUUGUUGGUGAGGUAAAAGCUCACCAAGGCGACGAUCCUUAGCUGGUCUGAGAGGAUGAUCAGCCACACUGGGACUGAGACACGGCCCAGACUCCUACGGGAGGCAGCAGUGGGGAAUAUUGGACAAUGGGCGAAAGCCUGAUCCAGCAAUGCCGCGUGAGUGAUGAAGGCCUUAGGGUUGUAAAGCUCUUUUACCCGGGAUGAUAAUGACAGUACCGGGAGAAUAAGCCCCGGCUAACUCCGUGCCAGCAGCCGCGGUAAU